rnacentral:rRNA from 1 species
ACGGCUCAGUAACACGUGGGUAACCUAACCUAUGCAGGGGAAUAACCUCGGGAAGCUGAGAAUAAUACCCCAUAGUCCACUACGCCUGGAACGGUGAGUGGAUGAAAGCUCAGGCGGCAUAGGAUGGGCCUGCGGCGUAUCAGGUUGUAGGGGGUGUAAAGUACCCUCUAGCCCUCUACGCGUACGGGUGUUGGGAGACAUAGCCCGGAGAUGGAUUCUGAGACACGAAUCCAGACCCUACGGGGUGCAGCAGGCGCGAAAACUUGGCAAUGCGAGCAAUCGUGACCAGGGAACUCCAAGUGGCUGGGGUAAGACCCAGUCUUUUCAGAACUCUUCAAAGGUUUUAGAAUAAGGGGUGGGUAAGGACGGUGCCAGCCGCCGCGGUAAUACCGGCGCCUCAAGUGGUAGUCGCUUUUAUUGGGCCUAAAACGUCCGUAGCCGGUUUGGUACAUUCGUGGGUAAAUCAACUCGCUCAACGAGUUGAAUUCUGCGAGGACGGCCAGACUUGGGACCGGGAGAGGUGUGGGGUACUCUCAGGGUAGGGGUAAAAUCCUGUCAUCCUGAGAGGACCACCUGUUGCGAAGGCGCCACACUAGAACGGAUCCGACGGUCAGGGACGAAGCCUAGGGGCACGAACCGGAUUAGAUACCCGGGUAGUCCUAGGUGUAAACGCUGUGAACUUGGUGUCGGGAGUCCGCAAUGGGCCCCCGGUGCCGGAGUGAAGAUGUUAAGUUCACUGCCUGGGGAGUACGGUCGCAAGGCUGAAACUUAAAGGAAUUGGCGGGGGAGCAC